rnacentral:rRNA from 1 species
UACAGAGGGGGCAAGCGUUGUUCGGAAUUACUGGGCGUAAAGGGCGCGUAGGCGGCUUUGUAAGUUAGAGGUGAAAGCCCGGAGCUCAACUUCGGAAUUGCCUUUAAGACUGCAUCGCUUGAAUCAUGGAGAGGUCAGUGGAAUUCCGGGUGUAGAGGUGAAAUUCGUAGAUAUUCGGAAGAACACCAGUGGCGAAGGCGGCCCUCUGGCUCGACCCUGACGCUGAGGCGCGAAAGCGUGGGGAGCGAACGGG